CACCUUUACUGGCUCGGCGGAUUUACCAAACUAGUUAAGCCAUGGUAGGAAGAAACCAGUUAAGCCAUGAGUUUGUGAAAUCUAGAAAUUCGAAAGCAGAUUUACCAAAAAAAAAAUGAGAAGAAAUUUCUUCGCAGGCCAACGCUCAUUCACGAUUACGAAUCUCUUCUUCUUCUUCUCUAAGGAUUUAGACAUUGAGAAAAGUUUCUUAUCCAACCUUGACUGGCUCGGCGGCGUAUCCAUGAGCUAUGAUGCUAAGUAGAUUACCACGGCGUUGCUACUGCACUUCUGUUCAUCAUCGGGCCAUGGCUGUUUUUGGAAUUGGGCAAUCCCGGGGACAAAUACAAAGGGACUAGGCACAAUGUAUCCAAAACAUGUUAUUUAAGUGAUAAAUAUUGGGUUCGAGAUGAUUGAUGUUUUUGCUGAGUCAGUUGGGAUUCAAAUGAACCUAGUGAACUUCAAGGCUAUAAUGGGACAAGGAUGUUUCGUGGGUGAUCUCCCAGUUAUCUUGGCAAAGCCACAAACCUACAUGAACCUGAGCGGUGAAUCGAGUAGAAGUCGGCUUACUACAAGUUACCUCACAAUCGUGUAAUUCUUGUAAUCCUAUUAGUAUCUGUUUCUCGCUCUCAAGGUCCUACCAUACUUAUAACCAUUUUGAAAGGCAUGGAGAUAUUCGAGUUUUGUAGAUGGGUAUUGUCAGCUUUUCCAUAUGACAGAGAAACUACUUAGAGAAUUUUCUGAUAAGAGUCGAGUGAACGGUUUGGAUGUUGAUGCCCUUUUCAUUUCACACGUCCAAGUGAACCAAGCAGCAAAACAGAGACGGAGUGUGCUCAUGGAAAUCAAGUCUUACAUGCAGUGCCGGUCCGGACUCGUCUGGCGUCUAAAGCGGUUGAAAAAAAUGCUGUCUUUUUACUAUAACUUAAUUUAACUGUUUUAAAUUAAACUAAAGUUGUUUUCAAAAGAAAAAAAACAUCAAAACAUUAUUUGCAGAUCACAUUGUAUGCUUUUUUUUUCUUUCAUAAUUAGAGUUCACUUGGUUGA